UGUCAAAAAAUGCUUCAUACCAUACCCCUCAGACGACAGAAGACGUUUUUUCUGUUGUCUGAUUUUUUUGAACGUCUUCAGACAACAGAUUUAACUAUUUAUGUCGUCUAAAUGGUAUCAAAAUCAACACCAAUUCAACUUUUUCAAGUUUGUUAUAAUUUACAGAAUUCAGACAACAGAUUCUGUUGUCUGAGUAAAGGGAAAAAUUUAUCGGGACAAAUUUUUUUUUUGGUUGAACGUACUAAAACUUAAUGUGAACUAUUUGCAAAAAAAAAAAAAAAAAAAAAAAAAAAAAAAAAAACAGAUAGGCAUAUCCGAGUUUUCUCAACACUUAGUCAAAAAAACAUAAAGUUUUUUUCUCAACCCUAACCACACGACAGCCGACCUCCUCUUCAUCACCCUCAUCCUCCGCCUCCGCUCCCAUCCUCCUUCUCCGGCUCUGACGCCGGAGCUCCGCGGAACUCCACACUCCCGAUCCAGCUUCUCUCUCUCCUUGGAACUUCCAACCCGUCUCGGCGUGAGGCAUCUCUGCCUCUCCGGUCUUUCAAGCCCCACCCAGCCCCCACCGCCGAGCUCCUUGCCCAGCAACCUGCAACUAGCAAACCCGUCUCCCGGUCUCCGGUCUCCGAUCUCGACCUCCAGCCCUCCAGACUCCGGCCGACUGCAUAGCCUGAUAGCUAGAGUCUUCUUCUUCAGAGUUCAGACUACCGAUUCUUCAGAUUGAGUUCUAGUCUUCUGCUUCUUCAGUUCUUCCUCUCUUAACUAUGUGAAUAAAUUGCUGGGUUGCCGGCAGUGUGUGGGUUGACGAAUUUCCUGGGUGAGUUACUGAGUUUGAUGAAAUUGCUGGGUGAAUUGGGUAUCAAGCAGUUGAGUAAAAGAUUGGAGCUUUUGGUUCUUUGACGUUUUUGGGGAGGUGGGUUUGAAUUGGUUUUUGUUGUUUGGAUCAGUGAGAGGUUUCUGUAAUCAUUUGAACUUUGAAGACGUCUUGAAGAUUUCUUCUAGUGUAAUCAUGAAUCGAGGUUCAAAAUUGAUUGUAUUGAGUGAAUGGUUUUGUAUUAGUUUUGGAGAAAGGAUGGAGCAAAGUUGGGUUGGUGCUUGUUUGGGGAAAACAAUCAUGGGUUGGUGCUUUUUCUGCAAUUUUUCUUUUGUUUUGAAAUGUUAGGGCUUUUACUGCAAAGAAAUGUUAGGGUUAUUAUGAAUUACUUUUUACAAGCUUGAUUUGUAGAUAUCAUUGUGUGGCUGUGAAUUUGUACUAUUAAGUUGUUGCAUUUCUCUGUCAGCAUUUACUCACUGCAAACGCAAACUUAAUUAUUAGAACUGUGGCAAUUGCAUAAAUUGCAUUGCCCGUACAAUUUGUUCGAGCUAUAGACCUUCAAAAUUCAGCUGCACCCCAAAAAGCUUGGUAGUCUGUUAACUUUGAUAUCUCCUGAGAAUUCUUUGAGUAGGUGUUGUAUAUUUUAGAACAUCAUCCAGAUGGAUUUGUAGAGGUUAGGUAUUGAUAUCUCUCCUUGCAAUUCUCUGUUUUACCCCCAUUGCCCAGACAGUCAAACCUCUGCUUGUGUCCUCAUGUCUGUAAGUAUGUGGAUCACAAAGAAAUAUUGCUCAUCCUUAUUGCAACUUGCAAGAUCUGCUGUCACGGUUCUUGAUUAAAGCGUCUCUCGAUUCUCACUAGAUUCUGGUGUUCGUUGCAGUGGUGACACGUUCUUGGCGGUGUCCGUGGUGUACUUCAAUCCGUCGUUGAAGCCGAAGAAGAUGAAUCAAAGAGAGGUUAGCGGUGAAGUUCCGGUCGAAGAUCAGAGUAUUGAUUUGUUGCUUUGAAGGAUGAGAUUAGAGAUCUAUUGAAGUUAUCAUCUCUGUUAUAAAGUACCUUUAAUUGUUUGUUGAAAUCUAUUGGUAGUUUGUUAUAAACUCAUCCCCAAAUUUCAGUUACGUGAUUUGAAGGAAGCGAAAGAAGAGGUUGCUAAGUACAAGAUUGAUGAGAAUGUUCAGAAGGAAACCAUAAACCACAAAUCCUUGAGGCAUCCAAAUAUUGUCAGGUUCAAAGAGGUCUUGUUGACUCCAAGUCAUUUAGCUAUUGUCAUGGAAUAUGCAGCUGGUGGUGAGCUAUUUGAGAGGAUAUAUAGUGCUGGUAGAUCUAGUGAAGCUGAGGUUAGUUCCUCGGUUUACAUGUUAGAUAGAAUCAUUACGUUUUUCUGCAUAUAGGAAUUAGUUAUUUAGAAGUUGUUGAUUCAUAAGUAUCUGUUGACUGCAAUUCCUCCACACAGCAGGUGUUGAUUUUUCUUCCAGCAGCUGAUAUGUGGAGUCAGCUACUGUCAGUCCAUGGUAAAUUAUAUUUGAUGCAGAUACAUUAUGAAAUGGUUUCCUUGUUUAAAAUAAUAUUGCUUCUUUUCUCACGUUAACCUCUUAUACAUUACAAUUACUUUAUAGUCUGUUGCUCUCUUACUUAAUGUUAAAAAAUUAGACACUUUGAGGCUGUGGUUAUAUCUAAGUGGGGAUUUUGAGUUCAGGUAUGUAAUGCUGCCUAUUUGGAUAUUGUUUAUUUAGCACAAGAUAAAUCAGUACUGACUGCUGCAUUCCAUUGGUAUGCAACAGAUCUCCCAUUUUCCUUUCUAGGAGCAAAUGAUUAUAUAUGGUUUACAUGCUCUAUCCAAAUUUUUAGGCUUUCAAAUUUGCUGGACUCGGUUUUUCUGUAGGCGUCAUUUAUUAGAAUUUCUUAAAUUACUUGUGUAAAAUUAAUUAGUUGUAAACGUGACUAGUGAUUGAAAUCUCAUUUAUAAGGCUAGGCCUCAUCCAAAUGAAUGUUCUGGAAGUGAUCUUGAUGGAGAUAUUUACUUUGUUUGUUGGGACCCCGAGUUGAUUCCUUGCAAUCAAAUCCAACCUAUGGAUUAUACCCCAGCACCAACUAUAGAGAUGGAUCAUGAUGUCACAAUUGAGCAAACAUGUUCCAUAAGCAAGGGGGAGAUCAAUUGGAGCAAGCUGCUGAGGCCCAUGAUACUGCAAAAGCCACCUAAUAAGCUUGAGGUAGGGGAAAAAAUGUUUUUAAGCUAUUGGGAUUAUGUUUCUCUUAAAGAAAAUUCAUUUGGUGAUUUUGUUAAACUCGGUACUUCCAUUGUUUGAAUGCAUUGAUCACUUGGUAUUGCACAAUUUCUCUUUUUCGAUAUUGAGUGAAAAAAAGAGGCUACUUUAUAUUGUGAUUUAUGCUUGCAGUGCCCAAUUUACUUCUUUGUUAAUCGGAUGCAAUUGCAUGCUCUGUUUCCAUACUCCAAAGUUGCAUCAAAGUACCCUUCAAGGUUUCUCACAAAGUAAUUUUUACCAAAAUAAACCAACUUUUAAAUUUAAAACUUCAUAUUGAGAUUAAAAACAGCUUUGCUGAAUUUCUGAGGAAGCUACUGAUCUGUUAACUUCGAGCUCUGUGAAAGAAAUUGUGGAGGACAAGAACUUGGAGUUUGCUACCAAGGUAAGAAUGAUCAACUGCAUAUAGGCAUAUUUCAGUUACUGAAAGUUACUGAACCUUAUUAUGUCCAGUAAAUUUGAGAAGCAAAUGCAGCAAGUCCAGUAUAGGCAUAAUAAGGUUGAUUUACUGGACUUGCUGCAAGUAACUUUGAGAAGCAAAUGCAACAUAAUAAGGUACUGGACUUGCUGCAAGUAACUUUGAGAAGCAUAUGCAACAUAAUAAGGUACUGGACUUGCUGCAAGUAACUUUGAGAAGCAUAUGCAACAUGAUAAGGUUCAUAUUAUAGGCAUAUUUCAGGUUUGCUACCAAGUUAUAAUGGACUUGCUGCAUUUGCACCAUAAUAACUUGCUGCAUUUGCUUGUUUCAGUGGGAAAGGAAAUCAAAUCUUGCUUACACACAGAAGGAUAUUGAUGUGGUUCGAGCUGAAUGGGCAAAUCAUGCUAUGAAGUUCUAACUUUGGUUCUGUUUAAGGUAGAUGAGUAGCACCAGGAACUGCUUUUGUGCAUUUAUAUAUAACUGAUGGAAAGUGUUGAUGAACCUAAAUUAUGCAUGCAGUUGCUUUGCCUAGCUACUCUUUCUUUACCUUAUAGGUUUUUGACUUAGUGCAAUAUUAGGUAAAUGAUCGAGAUCGAUGAUUUGAGUUUUUGGUUCUCUUCAUCAUUAUGUAACUGUUGACUAGGUUUAGAGUUGGAACUAUGGAUUGUAUUUUGGAUGAUGUUGAUGCAAUUAAUGAAACGUA